rnacentral:rRNA from 1 species
GAUGAACGCUGGCGGCGUGCCUAAUACAUGCAAGUCGAGCGAGCGGACGAGAAGCUUGCUUCUCUGAUGUUAGCGGCGGACGGGUGAGUAACACGUGGAUAACCUACCUAUAAGACUGGGAUAACUUCGGGAAACCGUAGCUAAUACCGGAUAAUAUUUUGAACCGCAUGGUUCAAAAGUGAAAGACGGUCUUGCUGUCACUUAUAGAUGGAUCCGCGCUGCAUUAGCUAGUUGGUAAGGUAACGGCUUACCAAGGCAACGAUGCAUAGCCGACCUGAGAGGGUGAUCGGCCACCCUGGAACUGAGACACGGUCCAGCCUCCUACGGGAGGCCGCAGUAGGGAAUCUUCCGCACUGGGCGAAAGCCUGACGGAGCAACGCCGCGUGAGUGAUGAAGGUCUUCGGAUCGUAAAACUCUGUUAUUAGGGAAGAACAUAUGUGUAAGUAACUGUGCACAUCUUGACGGUACCUAAUCAGAAAGCCACGGCUAACUACGUG